rnacentral:rRNA from 1 species
AUACGAAAGGUGCAAGCGUUGUUCGGAUUUACUGGGCGUAAAGAGAGUGUAGGUGGUUUCUUAAGUCGGAUGUGAAAUCCCGGGGCUCAACCUCGGAACUGCAUUCGAUACUGAUAGGCUAGAGUUUGGGAGGGGUAAGCGGAAUUCCGUGUGUAGCAGUGAAAUGCGUAGAUAUACGGAGGAACACCUGAGGCGAAGGCGGCUUACUGGACCAAUACUGACACUGAGACUCGAAAGCGUGGGUAGCAAACAGGAUUAGAAACCCUAGUAGUCC